GACGAACGCUGGCGGCAUGCUUAACACAUGCAAGUCGAACGGAACGGUCGGGUCUCGUUGCGCACGUGUGCGUACCGCGUGGGAACCUGCCCUUAGGUUCCGAAUAACUCCCCGAACGAGGUGCUAAUACCGCCUGGUGUCUUCGGACCAAAGAUUUAUCGCCUUUGGAUGGGGCCGCGUUGGAUUAGCUAGUUGGUAGGGUAAAUGCCUACCAAGGCGACGAUCCAUAGCUGGUCUGAGAGGAUGAGCAGCCACACUGGGACUGAGACACGGCCCAGACUCCGACGGGAGGCAGCAGUGGGGAAUAUUGGACAAGGGGCGAAGGCCUGAUCCAGCAAUGCCGCGGGAGUGAUGAAGGCCUUAGGGUUGUAAAGCUCUUUUACUCGGGAUGAUAAUGACAGUACCGGGAGAAUAAGCUCCGGCUAACUCCGUG
rnacentral:rRNA from 1 species